rnacentral:rRNA from 1 species
UACGUAGGGUGCGAGCGUUAAUCGGAAUUACUGGGCGUAAAGGGCGCGUAGGCGGCCCGCUAAGUCGAACGUGAAAUCCCCAGGCUCAACCUGGGAACUGCGUCCGAUACUGGCAGGCUUGAAUCCGGGAGAGGGAUGUGGAAUUCCAGGUGUAGCGGUGAAAUGCGUAGAUAUCAAGAGGAACACCUGAGGUGAAGACGGGUUGCUGGGCUGACACUGACGCUGAGGCGCGAAAGCCAGGGGAGCAAACGGG